rnacentral:rRNA from 1 species
UACGGGGGGGGGCAAGCGUUGUCCGGAAUUAUUGGGCGUAAAGAGCUCGUAGGCGGUGUGUCGCGUCGGCCGUGAAAACCUGCAGCUUAACUGUGGGCUUGCGGUCGAUACGGGCAUCACUGGAGUUCGGCAGGGGAGACUGGAAUUCCUGGUGUAGCGGUGAAAUGCGCAGAUAUCAGGAGGAACACCGGUGGCGAAGGCGGUGGUCUGGGCCGGCACUGACGCUGAGGCGCGAAAGCGUGGGGAGCGAACAGG